rnacentral:rRNA from 1 species
AUUGAACGCUGGCGGCAGGCUUAACACAUGCAAGUCGAACGAGUGGCGGACGGGUGAGUAAUGCUUGGGAAUCUGGCUUAUGGAGGGGGAUAACUACUGGAAACUGUAGCUAAUACCGCGUACCAUCAGAUGAGCCCAAGUGGGAUUAGGUAGUUGGUGAGGUAAAGGCUCACCAAGCCGACGAUCCCUAGCUGGUCUGAGAGGAUGACCAGCCACACUGGGACUGAGACACGGACCAGACUCCGACGGGAGGCAGCAGUGGGGAAUAUUUCGCAAUGGGGGCAACCUGACGCAGCCAUGCCGCGUGAAUGAAGAAGGCCGUCGGGUUGUAAAGUUCUUUCGGUAGCGAGGCGUUAACCACAGAAGAAGCACCGGCUAACUCCGUGCCAGCAGCCGCGGUAAUAC